GGAGAAGAAGAAAAGGCAUUAAUUUUAUGGAGAUUGGUGCGUGGCAGUGAAUAGGGAAACAAAAACAGUAUAUAAUGCAUAACCAAUGAUGUUUUUUCGAGGUUUUAAACUAGUCAUCGAUUGUAAUCUUAUAUAUGUUAUUUCAUAAAUAUAUAAAAUAACGAUUUUUAAUUGCAUUACACGGAUUGUCGCGUCUUUGGUAAAAUAAUAACCAGCGUACAAACGAGGCUGUCUAUUGAUAGAGGGGUUUCGAGGCGUGGAAAGAGAGUGAGUUGACACUCAUCCGGCCUACUGAGAAGCCGGGAGCUGGAGUUUGAAAGACCAGAGGAUUCGCUAUGGCGGUAAACUUGGACAAGGACGCGUUUUACCGCCGAAUCAAGCGCUUAUACGGCAACUGGAAGAAAGCCGAGGAUGAGUUCGGCAAAGUGGAUGCCAUGGUGGUCUCGGUUGGGGUGGACGAGGAGAUUGUGUACGCCAAGUCCACUGCUCUCCAGACCUGGUUGUUUGGUUACGAGUUGACCGACACCAUCAUGGUCUUCUGCGAGACCAAGAUCAUCUUCCUGGCCAGCAAGAAGAAGGUGGAGUUCCUGAAACAGGUGGCCGUCACCAAGGGCAACGAGAACGCCAACGGGGUUCCACCAAUCACACUGCUCGUCAGGGAAAAGAACGAGAGUAACAAGGGCAACUUUGAGAAGAUGAUGGAGGCCAUCAGGGGAAGUAAGGAGGGCAAGACUGUCGGGGUGUUCAGCAAAGACAAGUUCCCUGGAGAGUACAUGAAGAGCUGGAACGACAUGAUCACAGCCGAGGGCCUGGAGAAGGUGGACAUCAGUGCGGUGGUGGCCUACACCAUGGCUGUGAAGGAGGACGGGGAGCUGGCUCUGAUGAAGAAGGCUGCGGCCGUCACCAGCGAGGUCUAUUCCAAGUUCUUCAAGGAGAGGGUCAUGGAGAUCGUCGAUGCAGAUGAGAAGGUGCGCCACAGUAAGCUGGCGGAGUCGGUGGAGAAGGCCAUCGAGGAGAAGAAGUUCCUGGGCGGGGCCGACCCGUCCACGGUGGAGAUGUGCUACCCGCCCAUCAUCCAGAGCGGCGGCAACUACAGCCUCAAGUUCAGCGUCGUCAGCGACAAGAACCACAUGCACUUCGGCGCCAUCACGUGCGCCAUGGGGAUCCGCUACAAGUCGUACUGCUCCAACCUGGUGCGCACCCUGAUGGUGGACCCCACCCAGGAGAUGCAGGACCACUACGCCUUCCUGCUGCUGGUGGAGGAGGAGCUGCUGAAGGAGCUCAAGCACGGGGUGAAGAUCUGCGAUGCUUACACCAGUGUUGUGGACUACGUGAAGAAGGAGAAACCAGAGCUGGUGGCCAAACUCACCAAGAACCUCGGGUUUGCCAUGGGUAUUGAAUUCCGUGAAGGUUCCCUGGUCUUGAACAGUAAAAACCAGUACAAACUGAAGAAGGGCAUGGUGUUGAGCAUCAGUUUGGGUUUUGCUGACCUGAUGAACAAGGAGGGGAAGAAGGAGGAGCAGAAGAAAUAUGCCCUGUUCAUAGGAGACAGCGUGCAGAUCAACGAGGACGAUCCCGCCACAGUACUCACACCCGUGAAGAAGAAGAUAAAGAACGUGGGGAUCUUCCUCAAGAACGAUGAUGAGGAGGACGAGGAGGAAGAUGCAGACGACGCAGAGGAGCUGCUGGGGAAGGGAGCGCGAGGAGCUGCCCUGCUGGCAGACAGGACCAGGAACGAGAUGACGGCGGAGGAGAAGAGGCGGGCCCACCAGAAGGAGUUGGCCAAUCAGGUGAACGAGGAGGCCAAGCGACGCCUGACGGAGCAGAAGGGAGAGCAGCAGAUCCAGAAGGCCAGGAAAUCCAACAUCUCCUACAAGAACGUGGCUCAGAUGCCUCGAGAGAAGGACAUCAGAGACAUGAAGAUCUACAUCGACAAGAAGUACGAGACGGUGGUCAUGCCCGUGUUCGGCAUCGCCACACCCUUCCACAUCGCCACCAUCAAGAACAUCAGCUCGUCUGUGGAGGGAGACUACACCUACCUGAGGAUAAACUUCUUCGUCCCCGGCUCGUCCCUCGGCCGCCACGAGGGCAACAUCUUCCCCAACCCGGACGCCACCUUCGUCAAGGAGAUCACGUACCGGGCGUCCAACCUCAAGGCGCCGGGCGACCCCAUCGUGCCCUCCACCAACCUCCAGAACGCCUUCCGCAUCAUCAAGGAGGUGCAGAAGCGCUACAAGAUGCGCGAGGCGGAGGAGAAGGAGAAGGAGGGCAUCGUCAAGCAGGACUCGCUGGUCAUCAACCUGAACCGCAGCAACCCUAAGCUCAAAGACCUCUACAUCAGACCCAACAUCGCCCAGAAGAGGAUGCAGGGCUCUCUGGAGGCCCAUACUAAUGGUUUCCGCUUCACGUCGGUGCGGGGAGACAAGGUGGACAUCCUCUACAACAACAUCAAACACUCCAUCUUCCAGCCCUGCGACGGAGAAAUGAUCAUCGUGCUGCACUUCCACCUCAAGAACGCCAUCAUGUUCGGUAAGAAGCGCCACACGGACGUGCAGUUCUACACGGAGGUGGGCGAGAUCACCACGGACCUGGGCAAGCACCAGCACAUGCACGACCGCGACGACCUGUACGCAGAGCAGAUGGAGCGAGAGAUGAGGCACAAGCUCAAGUCGGCCUUCAAGAACUUCAUCGAGAAGGUGGAGACGCUAACCCGGGAGGAGCUGGAGUUCGAGGUCCCCUUCAGAGACCUGGGGUUCCAGGGCGCCCCCUACAGGAGCACCUGCCUCUUACAGCCCACGUCCAGCUCCCUGGUCAACACCACCGAGUGGCCUCCCUUCGUGGUGACCCUGGAUGAGGUGGAGCUGGUGCACUUUGAGCGAGUCCAGUUCCACCUGAAGAACUUUGACGUGGUCAUCGUUUACAAGGACUACAGCAAGAAGGUGACCAUGAUCAACGCCGUGCCCGUCAACUCCCUGGACCCCAUCAAGGAGUGGCUCAACUCGUGUGACAUAAAGUACACGGAGGGCGUUCAGUCGCUGAACUGGACCAAGAUCAUGAAGACUAUCGUGGACGACCCUGAGGGAUUCUUCGAGCAGGGCGGUUGGUCCUUCCUGGACCCGGAGGGCGAGGGGAGCGGGGUGGAGGAGGAUUCGGAGUCAGAGAUGGAGGACGAGACGUUCAACCCCUCCGGGGACGAGGAAGAGGAAGAGGAGGAGGACAGCGAUGAAGAUUACGAUUCGGAGACGGAGGAUUCAAACUACAGUGAGUCUCUGGGCAGUGAGGAGGAGAGUGGAAAGGACUGGGACGAGCUGGAGGAAGAGGCCAGGAAAGCUGACAAGGAGAGCCAGUACGAGGACACGGAGGAGACCACAAACAGGAAGAGGAAGGGCCGCUCGACAGUCCCGCCCCCCAGCAGCAAGAAGAAGCGACGACACUGAACGCCCGUCGCCCCAGACGCUCUUUUUUUUUUUGUUUUUCUUCCCCCCUCCUCACCCCAGACAGACACGCGCGCACACACACACACAGCCAAACUAGCGUUGAUUCAACCUCGAUCUCUCCCUCCAUCUUUCUCUCACUCAUCUUUUGUAUUAUACACACAAACACACACACACACACACACACACUGUGUGUAUAUCGAGCUAGAACCCCCUUGCUUUCGUGUCGCGUCACCAUGGUUACAUUGAACCAGACAACAGAGACAAACUUUUUUUUCCUUCAUUCCCCCCCCCCCCCCAACACCACACCUCCAUCAGGGUGUCAGGUUUGUGUGUGUGUGUGUGUGUGUGUGUUUGUAUAUAUAUGUGUAUGUGGGUGGAUUAUAGGUUUUUAUUGCAAACAUUUGUUUCAGUUGGAAUUGUUUCUAAGAACCGAUAGUUAAGAUGAGAGAUCUUGCCAAGCCUUUUAUAACAUUUUGUGGAACUUCCCCCCCCCCCUCCCCUCCCUGCCCCGCCUCAUUCUCUCCUUGCUCUCUCCUUUUUUCAUAGUUUUUCUAAAUUAAGAGGUGGACUUGUUAAAUCUUUGGAACAGAAAACUGAAUAAAAAAAUAUUGGUUUCAGAUUAUUUUCU